rnacentral:rRNA from 1 species
AGGGGGCUAGCGUUGCUCGGAAUUACUGGGCGUAAAGCGCACGUAGGCGGCUUUCUAAGUCGGGGGUGAAAUCCUGGAGCUCAACUCCAGAACUGCCUUCGAUACUGGAGAGCUUGAGUCCGGGAGAGGUGAGUGGAACUGCGAGUGUAGAGGUGAAAUUCGUAGAUAUUCGCAAGAACACCAGUGGCGAAGGCGGCUCACUGGCCCGGUACUGACGCUGAGGUGCGAAAGCGUGGGGAGCAAACAGG